rnacentral:rRNA from 1 species
GACAGAGGGGGCAAGCGUUGUCCGGAGUGACUGGGCGUACAGCGCGCGCAGGCGGUUGGUGACGCGCCGUGUCACAGCCCUGAGCUCAACUCAGGGUGGCCACGGUAGACGCAUCGGCUGGAGGCAGGGAGAGGGAUGUGGAAUACCCGGUGUAGCGGUGAAAUGCGCAGAUAUCGGGAAGAACACCUAUGGCGAAGGCAGCUCUCUGGGACGGUACUGACGCUGAGACGCGAAAGCGUGGGGAGCGAACAGG